rnacentral:rRNA from 1 species
GACGAACGCUGGCGGCGUGCUUAACACAUGCAAGUCGAACGGAAAGGCCCUGCUUUCGUGGGGUGCUCGAGUGGCGAACGGGUGAGUAACACGUGAGUAACCUGCCCUUGACUUUGGGAUAACUUCAGGAAACUGGGGCUAAUACCGGAUAGGAGCUCCUGCUGCAUGGUGGGGGUUGGAAAGUUUCGGCGGUUGGGGAUGGACUUCCGGCUUAUCAGCUUGUUGGUGGGGUAGUGGCUUACCAAGGCUUUGACGGGUAGCCCGCCUGAGAGGGUGAACGGCGACAAUGGGACUGAGGUACGGACCAGAGUCCUACAGGGGGCAGCAGGGGGGAAUAUUGCACAAUGGGCGGAAGCCUGAUGCAGCAACGCCGCGUGCGGGAAGAAGGCCUUGGGGUUGUGAACCGCUGUCACCUGUGACGAAGCGUGAGUGACGUUAAUAGGUGAAGAAGCACCGGCUAACUACGUG